rnacentral:rRNA from 1 species
AAGCUCGUAGUUGGAUUUCUGGCGUCGCCGCCCGGUCGGCCUCGAAAGGGGCUUUCACUCGUUGGCGCGCGUCGCCAUCCUCGGUUGAAGGCCGCCUGGCAUUAAGUUGUCGGGCGGUCGACGCUCGUCGUUUACUGUGAACAAAUUAGAGUGUUCAAAGCAGGCUUAGGCCGUUGAAUACAUUAGCAUGGAAUAAUGAGAUAGGACUUUGGUGGUCUAUUUUGUUGGUUUGCACGCCGAAGUAAUGAUUAAUAGGGGCGGGUGGGGGUAUUCGUAUUCAAUUGUCAGAGGUGAAAUUCUUGGAUUUAUGGAAGACGAACUACUGCGAAAGUAUUUACCAAGGAUGUUUUCAUUAAUCAAGAACGAAAGCUAGGGGAUCGAAUAAGAUUACAUACCUUCGUAGUCUUAACCAUAAACCAUGCCGACUCGGGAUGGAUGGUCGCUUGUUCAGGCUCCGUCCGCACCGUAUGAUAAAU